rnacentral:rRNA from 1 species
UCUUUUGAGAGUUUGAUCCUGGCUCAGAACGAACGCUGGCGGCGCGCCUAACACAUGCAAGUCGAACGAGAAUCCGGGGCAACUCGGUAGUAAAGUGGCAAACGGGUGAGGAAUGCAUGGGUAACCUGCCCUUGAGAAGGGAAUAACCCGCCGAAAGGUGAGCUAAUACCCUAUACGCUUUUUUCUCUUUGGAGGGAAAAGGAAAGUCAAGCCGAGGGUUUGACACUCAAGGAUGGGCUCAUGUCCUAUCAGCUUGUUGGUGGGGUAAUGGCCUACCAAGGCAACGACGGGUAGCUGGUCUGAGAGGAUGAUCAGCCACACUGGCACUGAGAUACGGGCCAGACUCCUACGGGAGGCAGCAGUGAGGAAUAUUGCGCAAUGGGCGAAAGCCUGACGCUGCGACGCCGCGUGAGUGAUGAAGGCCUUCGGGUUGUAAAGCUCUGUGG